UACCUGGUUGAUUCUGCCAGUAGUCAUAUGCUUGUCUCAAAGAUUAAGCCAUGCAAGUCUAAGUAUAAGCAACUAUACGGUGAAACUGCGAAUGGCUCAUUAAAUCAGUUAUCGUUUAUUUGAUAGUACCUUA
rnacentral:ncRNA from 1 species